GUCUGGAUAGCUCAGUUGGUUAGAGUGUGGUGCUGGCAAUGCCAAGGUUACAGGUUCGAUCCCCAUAUGAGGCA